AUGACUUUUCCAAAAUUAGCUACACAUACUCAAUCUCUUGCGCAUGGACUUUCAGGCCCAUCUUCCUUCAUUUGGCUUAAAUUCUUCUUAUUUUGGUUCCCUCAGGUCCCUGAUUUGUUUGCAUUAUGUUUCCUUUUCUUGAUGUAUGCUUCUUUUAUUAAUACUGGGUUUCAUAUUAUUUAUUAUAGAAAUACUUCCAAAUGGCUAUCUCGAACUGUGGUUACAAACUGGGAGCUGAUGACAUCUCUCGUGUCUAGGAACAGAAGGGAGAAUCCAUCUGUUGGCAGGAAGAGAAAAAAGAAGGUACACAAGGUACUGUAUGUUUGCAAUUUUUUUUUUCAAACACUGGAGACAGGAAAUGUUUGAGUUGAAGUGCUAAUGGUAAAUGUCUGAGUGUGUGCUCCGUAUUAUUGCAUGCAAAAAUUGCAUUUAAAAUGAACUUAGAGAUGACACUUUAAAUACUCAGUCCCCCCCCCAGCCAAACAAAACCAUUUUUUAAAAAUACAAACUAUACUAAUAAUGUGAAUGACAUGUUGGAAAAAUUAAGCUAGGUAUGCAGUGCUCUUUAAAAUGAUCACUGUCAUUUAAUCUGUUUCCACCAACAUUUUAGGUUCCCUGAUGCAGAGAGAAAUACAUAAUGAGAUAUGCUCAUUAAUGUGGAGUCUUAGGAUAUUUCUCUUUAUCGUUUAGGUGCUUUUAAAGAUACUGAUUUUUGUCUUAGGAGAAAACUGUGUGUAAAAUACCCCUCAAAAACCUGACUGAAUCAGCAGAAUAACAUAACCUGUCUGGCUUCCAUGUAUCAGAAAUUCCUUACUACCUAAAAAAAAAAAAGGGCUAUUGUGAACAGCCUGGGUUGGAUCACUUUAAUGAUGUGUUACAAAAUAUAGCUGAGCUGCUGUAAACAAUCUCUCCUUUGUUUAAAAGAACGAAAAAGACAUAGAACAAGAAUGGGUAAAAAUGCUUCCUGUUGCAAAGCUUUCACUCUUAAAAACAAUUUCUAGACUUCUCACAACAUUCCUCUUUGACUAGCCACCAGCAAGCACACCCCUCCAGGGAAGGGUAUGUAUAUGAGUGUAUGCACACACACUUCCCUCUCCUCAAAAAAUCUGCUGAACACUUACUAUAUUUCACUGUGUGCCCCAAAAAUUAAUCCUUCAAAACUCUUUUAAAUUCUUUUAAGUCUGAAAAAGCACAACUGGCCUAGACUUAUAUGAUGGAAACCUUUGCCUGGUGGAGUUUGAUGUACUGAAAAUGGACUCCUGGUUCCUUAGUUUACCAGCUAUUUUGGGAAAACCAUUCAUCAGCGUAAAUAAAACCUAUUACAUCGAUUUAAUGGGAUUCACAUAAAUGAACCUGUAUUUGGUCCAUUGCAGGUGCUCUAUAAUGAGCACUGUUUGAAUCUCACCUGAAUCUAUUGUGCAUUACAAGAGUCCAAGCAACAG
rnacentral:lncRNA from 1 species